UGCCACAUACUCAUCUCACCCAGCCUCCCAGGAAGGUAGGCCAGUUAUUUAUUGUCUUCAUUUUACAGGUGAGGAAGUUGAGGCUCUUGCCUGAGAAUGCAGAGAGAGGAAGUAGCAGGACAGAAUUCCAGCCUGGCAGCCUGCCCUCAGGGGACAUGUUCGGCUGCUAUUAGACCUGUCACUCCCUCAUGACAAGCUCAUUGCCUUCUGCUGUUACAGCUCACCUGAUCUCAUCUCUUCCCAAAGGCAGCUAUGGGGACAGUUACUGCCAAGAUCUUUCCAGAAGUCAUGCCUGGCUAGGUGCUCUCCUGUUUCUAAGCCCACAUGGCCUCAUCAACCAUAGGAAAGUUUGAGCUCCCAAGAUGGCACACUGGCUCAGAGUGUGAUACUGGUCCAAGCUCCUCAUGUCCCAGAUGGGAGGAAAGCCAGCAUCCCGGAGUAGGAAGCCACAGUGACAAUAAGUACAAGGACAGCUCCAGCCUGCCUGCCUGCCUGCCUGCCUGUACCAGUCCUGUGGUCUGAAUGUUUGAAGUCAGGGCCUGGGCACUGCCCCUGAGCUUCUUUUGCUCAAGGCCAGCACUCUAUCCCUCGAGCCACAGCUGCACGUACACAUUUUGGUAGUUUUAUUGGAGAUAAGAAUCUCACAGACUUUCCUGUCUGGGCUGGCUUUGAACUGUGAUCCUCAGAUCUCAGCCUCUGAAUAGCGAGGAUUACAGGUGUGAGCCACCGGGUGCCGGCUCUCCUGCCCUUUCUCACCGUGCAGUGUCCCCCGAGUCCCUGAGAAUUCCCCACCUCGCAGGAGGGAGGGUGGCUCCUCCCCAUUUGGCACCGGAAGGUUGGGAGACCUGCUUCCCUCUUGGAGUGGCGCGAGGACACAGGGCGGGAGCCGAGCCCCCUCUCGGUGCGCAGGAGGAGGUGGGGGAACGGGCCUUGUGAUCUGGGGUGUGCACGGAACCCCGGGGUGCGGCGGGGGGAGCGGGGGCGCAGGGCCGCGGGUGGGCGCGCGCCGCCCUCGGCGCGGUGACAGCGCGGCCCCGGUCCCCGGUCCCCGCAGGCAGGCAGCGAGCGCACGCAGGUGCGCAGGGGCGGCGGCGGGCGGCGGGGGCGGCCCGAGCGAGCCGGGCGGGCGGGCGGGCGGUCCCCACGCCCAUCCUCCCUCCUGCCCGCCCUCUCUCCCCGUGGCGGGUGGCAGGUGAGUGGGUGUCGAGGAACCGCCAGGCAGCGGAGAAAACAGGACGCCACAGAAAUCAGAUUACUCACCUGC